rnacentral:misc_RNA from 1 species
GAGUCUGCUCACAAAACUUCUUUCAGAAAAGAAUUUCUCUAAGCGGCAAUGUAGAUGAAUAAUUUCUCUGAAAAAUGGUAAAGGAACAGCGCUCUGAGUUUAGUUUGGUAGUAAAUGCAUCUAUCUACUUCAAUGAGGUCCAAAUUCGAAUUUCCUCUCCCUUUUCUUUGUAAACGAAAAGACGAAAGAAAAUUUUUCAAAGAAGUAGUGAAAUAGGGAUAUCGUUAUUUUACAAUGCUGUUUAAUAUAACACAAAGGUAUAUGUAAAGAGCUACUAUCUGACAGAUCAGUCUCUAGUUCUUCAAUUUUCUAUUAGAAAGGAAAAAAAAUUAUGAUAUUUAUAUAACAGGCUUGAUUUUAUUUGUCUAUUAAAAUAUAAGAUCGAUUAAGG